rnacentral:rRNA from 1 species
UGAUCGGCCACAUUGGGACUGAGACACGGCCCAAACUCCUACGGGAGGCAGCAGUAGGGAAUUCUUCGGCAAUGGACGAAAGUCUGACCGAGCAACGCCGGCGUGAGUGAAGAAGGUUUUCGGAUCGUAAAACUCUGUUGUUAGGAGAAGAACAAGGAUGAGGAGUAACUGUUCAUCCCUUGACGGUAUCUAACCAGAAAGGCCACGGCUAACUACGUGCCAGCAGCCGCGGUAAUACGUAGGUGGCAAGCGUUGUCCGGAUUUAUUGGGCGUAAAGCGAGCGCAGGCGGUUUCUUAAGUCUGAUGUGAAAGCCCCCGGCUCAACCCGGGGAGGGUCAUUGGAAACUGGGAGACUUGAGUGCAGAAGAGGAGAGUGGAAUUCCCAUGUGUAGCGGUGAAAUGCGUAGAUAUAUGGAGGAACACCAGUGGCGAAGGCGGCUCUCUGGUCUGUAACUGACGCUGAGGCUCGAAAGCGUGGGGAGCAAACAGGAUUAGAUACCCUGGUAGUCCACGCCGUAAACGAUGAGUGCUAAGUGUUGGAGGGUUUCCGCCCUUCAGUGCUGCAGCUAACGCAUUAAGCACUCCGCCUGGGGAGUACGACCGCAAGGUUGAAACUCAAAGGAAUUGACGGGGGCCCGCACAAGCGGUGGAGCAUGUGGUUUAAUUCGAAGCAACGCGAAGAACCUUACCAGGUCUUGACAUCCUUUGACCACUCUAGAGAUAGAGCUUCCCCUUCGGGGGCAAAGUGACAGGUGGUGCAUGGUUGUCGUCAGCUCCGUGUCGUGAGAUGUUGGGUUAAGUCCCGCAACGAGCGCAACCCUUAUUGUUAGUUGCCAUCAUUCAGUUGGGCACUCUUAGCAAGACUGCCGGUGACAAACCGGAGGAAGGUGGGGAUGACGUCAAAUCAUCAUGCCCCUUAUGACCUGGGCUACACACGUGCUACAAUGGGAAGUUACAACGAGUUGYGAAGUCGCGAGGCUAAGCUA